UUACGGCCACAUUACGUCGAAACAUCGGUUCUCGUACGAUCACCGAAGUUAAGCAACGUUGAGUCUAGUGAGUACCUAGAUGGGUGACUGCUUCGGCAUACCAGGUGC